rnacentral:lncRNA from 12 species
UAUGUGGCCUGAAACAGAAUGGCUAAACCAUAAAAUGUACUUAUUAUUUUUACUAUCAGUUUUGUUUCAUGAGAUAUAGUCUAUGAGUGACCACGUAAGUCUCAGAAGCUCACUUUCUCAUUUUCAAAGUAGAGCAUUAACAAAAUUUUCAAAUAUUUUCUUCUUUGGUGGUAGAGCAUAGUUAGUAGUUGCUCUCACCAUUUAAAGUCUCCCAACACUGAAAAACAAUUAUUAAGAGUUCUCUUUUCCAAAGUAAGUAAACAAUCUCAAGUCUUUAACCCUCAGGGCUAACAUUUUUCAUUUUAUUCUGAGUCAGACCCUGGCCUCAUGAAGAGGACAAGAGCUGGUUCUGCUGUUAUUGAUGAAUACAAUCAAACACACAAUUCCCAAAUUACUAUGUCUUCUUUGCCUUGUGGAUGGGCUAAGAAUAUGAAGGUCAAGCUCAAGUGUUUCGAGAUAUUCUGA